rnacentral:lncRNA from 1 species
GUGUGGACCCCUCCAUCCUACAAGGGGUGAGGGUGCCACACAUCACUAUGACAACCAUGUCGUCAGCAGUCUUUCCCAGUCACUGGACCCCCACCCCUCCCUGGGGAUCAGGCCACAAAGGUGGAUUUUGUGGGCUGGGCUGACAUUUCUGCCUACAGAGGGGUUUCAUAGGCCAAGGCACGACGCAGGGGAGACACCAACUUGCCUGGUCCACCACAGAGGUGAGGGCCGCGUCAAUGGCCGUCUGUCCCCUCUUUAGUGCCCUGACGUGAUGGUAUGACCCAUUCUGGGAGGCCGAGAGCACCUCAAAGAAC